UAAUCAUGCUCUGCCUCAAGUAUAGGGAUGGGCAGUGCUUUUUCUGGGGGUAUGCAGGGGUACACAUACCCCUAAACAUUUGUACUUUUGUCCAUUUACUGUAUUUAUUUUUCCUAAUUUGAACUAUAAAAUGGUGAUUUUCUUAAGUCAAAAUGAGAGUACCCCUAAACAUUUUUUAAAGAAAAAAAUCACUGGGGUGGACAUAUCUGUAAAUAUUAGUUUCUCUCAGUUUCUAAUUUUUCCAGUCUUGAGUUUGCAUUUUUUAAGUCUUCCCAAGUAUUUGAUAGCAUUUUAGUACACAUUUCUCCUAAUAUAUGCAAUUAUUCCUAAUGUAUACAUUGUUGCAAGUAAUUUUUCUGAACAUCAUAUCCACAAAUAUAUGCAUCUUUAUCCACACUUUUCUCUAAUCUACACAGUUUUGUGCACAAUUGUUGGUUGGAGAGCUGUGUAUCUCAAGAUUUGUUGCAGUGCAGAUUUCAGAGGAUAGGUGCAUUUUGUUUCAGAACACAUUUUUUCAGGAAGUGCAUACCAGGUAGGUUUGCAUUAAAAUCAAGCCAAAGCAAAUUUCUCCAUCAUCCCUACAUGAGAAAGGACUUUAUGAAGUGGGCCAAGACACCAUUCCUCUGCUCACCUCCCACAUGUCUUGCUAAAGGCAGUUGGCAAUUGAGAGGUUGUAUUAAUAAUGGUGAAAUACUGCUCUGUAUUCUAAAACCAUGAUAUAGUUGAGUAGUUGUUGAAGUCUAGGUCUAGAAACACAAAAUGACUGUGUUGUAUGCCUCACUGUUAAUGGUCACUUCUACAUCAAAUAUCUGAUUUGUUGUGAUAAUAACCGUUUUCCCUCCUGACAUUCAGGACUGUGUCUUUUGCAUCUUUCAAAGCAAAGGAGUGAUACAAAAAAUACUUACCUUUUCCAUUGGUUAUUUUCUGAUUCAGAGAUAAUUUAAGGGUAUAAAAAUGUUGAAACUAGAACUGAAAUUUUACCUAGUUUGUGUUAAUGCUUUGUAAUAAAUCUCUUGGUUCUCUUUAAGACACCGCAGUGUGCAAUUUAUUAUAAAACUGCACUUACUGUAUUUUAUGUCUUACUGUAAUUGGUUGUUUCAUCCGAUUCAGAUUAUAUUCAUGUAUAAUAGGAACGGGCUCCAGAUAGGAAUGAAGAAUGAUCAAAUGAGAAAGUUUUUGGAAAUUAAGAUCCUAAACAUCCAUAGCAGAUAUAUGUUAUGAUAGUUAGAAAUAGAUCCGAAAAGGCUUAUGCAGUGUGCUUUAAUCAAAUCUUGAAAACAAAUUGACUGAUAAAUCAAAUCCUGAAAAGAAAUUGACCAAUAAAUCAAAUCUGAAAAUCAAAGUGACAGAUAAAUCAAGUCUAAAAAGGAAAACGGGUAAUAUAUCACGGUCAUGAUAUGUUUAUUAAAAUAAGAAACUGCUUUGUACGUGGCUCUGUUUCUGCUUCCAACAAUCAUGUUAAUUAAGUGCUUGAAGUUUUUUGGAAACAAAUUACAUGGAUACAUACUGAUAAAUGUGCAUUCUAAAUAAGUACAUGGGCAUCAUUCAGGGACCCUGGGUGCAAACCUAAACAUUUUCUUAGUUGCUGUCCUGCCCUUCGUGAAUCCCUGGGGCAGAUCACAUUCCAAAAAUAAAACAUACACAAUACAAUAUGCCUCCAUUAAACAAUAUUAAGCCUUUUAUUAAAUAAGCAAAAUUUGCAACCUACCUUACUCCAUCUCUUCCUGUUUUUUUAAAAAUUACGCAUUACAACUGAUCUUUGCCUCAACUAUCCUUCCCAUUCC